rnacentral:rRNA from 1 species
AUUGAACGCUGGCGGCAGGCUUAACACAUGCAAGUCGAGCGAGCGGCGGACGGGUGAGUAAUGUCUGGGAAACUGCCUGAUGGAGGGGGAUAACUACUGGAAACGGUAGCUAAUACCGCAUACCAUCAGACGUGCCCAGAUGGGAUUAGCUAGUAGGUUGGGUAAUGGCUCACCUAGGCGACGAACCCUAGCUGGUCUGAGAGGAGGACCAGCCACACUGGAUCUGAGACACGCUCCAGACGCCUACGGGAGGCAGCAGGGGGUAAUAUUGAACAUUGGGCGCAAGCCGGAUGCAGCCAUCCCGCGUGGGGGAAGAAGGCCUUCGGGUUGUAAAGCACUUUCAGCGAGGAGGCGUUACUCGCAGAAGAAGCACCGGCUAACUCCGUGCCAGCAGCCGCGGUAAUUC